GUGAACAACAUUCAGACUUAUUAUUCUAGUGUAAAAUGUCUUGAAAUACUUUCAGCAUGAAGUAUUGUGUGAUGAAAUAAAAUGUGUAUUUAAUUACUACAAUGUGUAAAUCAACAAUAAGUUUGUUGCAAAGGAGAUUCAAAGUGGGUGGUUAAAGACAUAUAAAGUGAUAUGGUCUAGUUCAACAACUGCCUGUAUUUUUGGAAUACUGAAGAACAGUCUGUUGUAACAGGUUAAACCCCAUGGUGACCGUGAAAUUUACAUUGAUCAGAAGAUCCUUUGGAAAGAAUGUGCAUCAUCGCAUCGCCUGCCAAAAAAGGGAGCAAAAGGGAGACUAUAUAUAUGUAACCUGAUGUAUUGACUUGAAUACCAGGUUUUACCCUGCACAAGCUGGCCAACAUGAGGAGAACAGGAGUGGGAAAACCGCGCCCUCUCCUUGACCAAGAAAAGCUGGAUUUGUUUAGAGGUCAAACUAUACAGGGUACUGGUUAUUGCAUUUUAAAGGUGUCCCACUUCCGACCAGUCCACACAGCCAAAUGAGACCACAUAUCUUGGACCUGAUCAAUAGAGAUCAUGCAUGAGACGCACCGCGCAAAGGCCAUGACAGUAUAAUAGUUGCAAAGAAGUUUGACCGGCUGGUGGCAGAUGUGGAGAGAAAGAUGAGAGCCGCACUCCGCCGCCUCAAAGAAAUGACAGGCCUUGAUUGAUUCUCAUCUUUUUUAUGUAUAUAGAUGUUCCUGUGUAUAUACUGUACAUGUUAUUUAUAAGUAUGCUAUUAUGUUUUGUUUAUUUAUAAUCUAAUUAUGUUAAUAUUUAUU